rnacentral:rRNA from 1 species
AUUGAACGCUGGCGGCAGGCUUAACACAUGCAAGUCGAGCGGAGAUGAGGUGCUUGCACCUUAUCUUAGCGGCGGACGGGUGAGUAAUGCUUAGGAAUCUGCCAUUUAGUGGGGGACAACAUUCCGAAAGGAAUACUAAUACCGCAUACGUCCUACGGGAGAAAGCAGGGACUCUUCGGACCUUGCGCUAAAUGAUGAGCCUCAGUCGGAUUAGCGAGUUGGUGGGGGAAAGGCCUACCAAGGCGACGAUCUGUAGCGGGUCUGAGAGGAUGAUCCGCCACACUGGGACUGAGACACGGCCCAGACGCCUACGGGAGGCAGCAGUGGGGAAUAUUGGACAAUGGGCGGAAGCCUGAUCCAGCCAUGCCGCGUGUGUGAAGAAGGCCUUUUGGUUGUAAAGCACUUUAAGCGAGGAGGAGGCUACUAGUACUAAUACUACUGGAUAGUGGACGUUACUCGCAGAAUAAGCACCGGCUAACUCUGUGCCAGCAGCCGCCGUAAAAC